rnacentral:rRNA from 1 species
CCUACGGGUGGCUGCAGUCGAGAAUCUUCGGCAAUGGGCGCAAGCCUGAUCCAGCCAUGCCGCGUGAGUGAUGAAGGCCCUAGGGUUGUAAAGCUCUUUUGUGCGGGAAGAUAAUGACGGUACCGCAAGAAUAAGCCCCGGCUAACUUCGUGCCAGCAGCCGCGGUAAUACGAAGGGGGCUAGCGUUGCUCGGAAUCACUGGGCGUAAAGGGUGCGUAGGCGGGUCUUUAAGUCAGGGGUGAAAUCCUGGAGCUCAACUCCAGAACUGCCUUUGAUACUGAAGAUCUUGAGUUCGGGAGAGGUGAGUGGAACUGCGAGUGUAGAGGUGAAAUUCGUAGAUAUUCGCAAGAACACCAGUGGUGUAGACGGCUUUCUGGACCGACACUGACGCUGAGACACGAAAGCGUGGGUAGCAAACAGGAUUAGAUACCCUUGUAGUC